CCAAAGAGGCUAAUUUUUCAUCACGCAUUUCCUCCAGUGUACCCAGCAGACCAGCUUUGAAGAACACCUACCAGCAGGUGCAACAUAACAGUAAGGCUAACUCACCUGUGCUGGAUCACUCUCAGUUCUUGCAGGAGGCUGGAGCUGCUGCAUUUAUAGAGAGAUCCCAGGUCUCUUCGGAAGUCUCCGGUGCAACAGCUGAGUGCAGCUCCCUCUCGUGGAAGAUGUUGUGACAGCAUUACACUUUGUGUGCUGUGUGACGCACUUUGGCAGAGACCAAAGGAAGAAAACCAGUUUGUAAUGACACACCCUUGUGAAUUUGUGCAAAGACUAUUGGAAGGGUCAGAUACUGUAAUUAAUUUGUAUUAAAAAAUGCCCAAUCAAUAAAUUCAUAUUUCUUUUGCUUUUAU